UUAUAAAGAAAUGGAUUCUUGAUGUACUAAAAGACUUCUAUGUGGACAUCUAACAAAACUCGUUUUUUUUGUAUUGUAUAGUAGGAGUUUGGUUGGGCAACUUCUAAGCACAAUGUCUACCUUAUGUCACACUUUUUAGGUGAGCCACUGCUAUACUUCGACAUCUGGAAAGCAUAAAGUUCUCAGUGUUCAAAGUCAUGUUUCCCCUGCCAAAGUUAGUUUUUCUUCCGGAACCAUGAAAGAUUCUUCUAUAAAAGUUUACAUCCGCUAAUGGUGAUUUUUUAAUAAAAAAAUUCUUAUGUGGGUGCAUAAACAUUCUGGAAUAAAUAGAGAUUUACAAAGACUCAAGUGAGUACACUUGCACUAGUGAGACAUAAUUUUAAGUUGCUUUCCUACUCCUACAUUUUAAGAUUAUAGUUCCAGAGAGGAGAAGAGGGUUGUCUGUUUCAAAUUUUGUGUGGUGUCUAUCACAGACCCGUUUCUUGGAUUAAUAGUUGCAUUCAUUUGUGUUUAAUGAUUAAUUAUGGUUACUCACAGACUUGAUUUUUUAGAUCUAUCGUUUGUUCACGAAUGCAUGUGUUUUUCUUACGACAGAUGGAAAGUUUGGCCGUCAUACAAAGAGUGAUCCACGUUUGCAUCAUAAAUCUUUUAGUGUAAGAGUGACAAGAGCAGAGGGAGGAGAAAAUAUAUUUGGAUAAAUAUUCCAUCCCCCGUAAUUUGUAUCAUCCGUGUGUGGUUUGUUUAUCCAAGUUUUGGUGAAUAUAUAGAAGAGAGAAACAUCAAUCUAACAAAACAAUUUUACCAUUUUACACUAAGAUUUUAUAACUGUUGUAAUUUGUAUGUACAAAAAGGGUGUUUCAGACGAUGUCUCUUUCAGGACAAAGCAUGUUUCAGGUUCUUCUCUGUCUCUUAUGUAAACAAUAAUUAAUCAGGUUUUGAGAGGCUUUCACUCCGCACCUCUUAUUGAUUCAACAAAGAAUCUUCUCUGGCAUUCACGUCCUCUGUUAUUCUCCAGUUCCGUUCUAUGCUCUUAGGGUCUGCCGUUGAGAUGCGUAAGAUCUUGUUAUGGAACUUGGUUAACGUCUGCCGAUGGCCAAUGCUUAUGUAUGUAAUCCCAGCUGACUGGAUUUGCUGGUAGAG
rnacentral:lncRNA from 1 species